rnacentral:pre_miRNA from 1 species
CGUGGAGCACCAGCAGUUGAAGCUGCCAGCAUGAUCUAACCUUCCUUUGCAUAUAUAUGUACAUGUGCAUGAUCGAUCAUCAAAGUAGGUAAGAGGAGGAUCGAUAAGGAAGGUCUGAGAUCAUGUGACAGUUUCACCUGUUGAUGCCCUUCACG